GUUAUAUGGUCAAGUGAAGAAGCGCAUACGGUGGAUGCCUUGGCAGUCAGAGGCGAUGAAAGACGUGGUAGCCUGCGAAAAGCUUCGGGGAGUCGGCAAACAGACUUUGAUCCGGAGAUCUCUGAAUGGGGGAACCCACCUAGGAUAACCUAGGUAUCUUGUACUGAAUCCAUAGGUGCAAGAGGCGAACCAGGGGAACUGAAACAUCUAAGUACCCUGAGGAAAAGAAAUCAACCGAGAUUCCCUUAGUAGUGGCGAGCGAACGGGGAUUAGCCCUUAAGCUUCAUUGAUUUUAGCGGAACGCUCUGGAAAGUGCGGCCAUAGUGGGUGAUAGCCCCGUACGCGAAAGGAUCUUUGAAGUGAAAUCGAGUAGGACGGAGCACGAGAAACUUUGUCUGAACAUGGGGGGACCAUCCUCCAAGGCUAAAUACUACUGACUGACCGAUAGUGAACCAGUACCGUGAGGGAAAGGCGAAAAGAACCCCGGAGAGGGGAGUGAAAUAGAACCUGAAACCGUAUGCGUACAAGCAGUGGGAGCCUACUUGUUAGGUGACUGCGUACCUUUUGUAUAAUGGGUCAGCGACUUAUAUUCAGUGGCAAGCUUAACCGUAUAGGGUAGGCGUAGCGAAAGCGAGUCUUAAUAGGGCGUUUAGUCGCUGGGUAUAGACCCGAAACCGGGCGAUCUAUCCAUGAGCAGGUUGAAGGUUAGGUAACACUGACUGGAGGACCGAACCCACUCCCGUUGAAAAGGUAGGGGAUGACUUGUGGAUCGGAGUGAAAGGCUAAUCAAGCUCGGAGAUAGCUGGUUCUCCUCGAAAGCUAUUUAGGUAGCGCCUCAUGUAUCACUCUGGGGGGUAGAGCACUGUUUCGGCUAGGGGGUCAUCCCGACUUACCAAACCGAUGCAAACUCCGAAUACCCAGAAGUGCCGAGCAUGGGAGACACACGGCGGGUGCUAACGUCCGUCGUGAAAAGGGAAACAACCCAGACCGCCAGCUAAGGUCCCAAAGUUGUGGUUAAGUGGUAAACGAUGUGGGAAGGCUUAGACAGCUAGGAGGUUGGCUUAGAAGCAGCCAUCCUUUAAAGAAAGCGUAAUAGCUCACUAGUCGAGUCGGCCUGCGCGGAAGAUGUAACGGGGCUCAAACCACACACCGAAGCUGCGGGUGUCACGUAAGUGACGCGGUAGAGGAGCGUUCUGUAAGCCUGUGAAGGUGAGUUGAGAAGCUUGCUGGAGGUAUCAGAAGUGCGAAUGCUGACAUGAGUAACGACAAUGGGUGUGAAAAACACCCACGCCGAAAGACCAAGGGUUCCUGCGCAACGUUAAUCGACGCAGGGUUAGUCGGUUCCUAAGGCGAGGCUGAAAAGCGUAGUCGAUGGGAAACAGGUUAAUAUUCCUGUACUUCUGGUUACUGCGAUGGAGGGACGGAGAAGGCUAGGCCAGCUUGGCGUUGGUUGUCCAAGUUUAAGGUGGUAGGCUGAAAUCUUAGGUAAAUCCGGGGUUUCAAGGCCGAGAGCUGAUGACGAGUCGUCUUUUAGAUGACGAAGUGGUUGAUGCCAUGCUUCCAAGAAAAGCUUCUAAGCUUCAGGUAACCAGGAACCGUACCCCAAACCGACACAGGUGGUCGGGUAGAGAAUACCAAGGCGCUUGAGAGAACUCGGGUGAAGGAACUAGGCAAAAUGGCACCGUAACUUCGGGAGAAGGUGCGCCGGCUAGGGUGAAGGAUUUACUCCGUAAGCUCUGGCUGGUCGAAGAUACCAGGCCGCUGCGACUGUUUAUUAAAAACACAGCACUCUGCAAACACGAAAGUGGACGUAUAGGGUGUGACGCCUGCCCGGUGCCGGAAGGUUAAUUGAUGGGGUUAGCGCAAGCGAAGCUCUUGAUCGAAGCCCCGGUAAACGGCGGCCGUAACUAUAACGGUCCUAAGGUAGCGAAAUUCCUUGUCGGGUAAGUUCCGACCUGCACGAAUGGCGUAACGAUGGCGGCGCUGUCUCCACCCGAGACUCAGUGAAAUUGAAAUCGCUGUGAAGAUGCAGUGUAUCCGCGGCUAGACGGGAAGACCCCGUGAACCUUUACUGUAGCUUUACACUGGACUUUGAGCCUGCUUGUGUAGGAUAGGUGGGAGGCUUUGAAGCGUGGACGCCAGUUCGCGUGGAGCCAUCCUUGAAAUACCACCCUGGCAUGCUUGAGGUUCUAACUCUGGUCCGUGAUCCGGAUCGAGGACAGUGUAUGGUGGGCAGUUUGACUGGGGCGGUCUCCUCCUAAAGAGUAACGGAGGAGUACGAAGGUGCGCUCAGACCGGUCGGAAAUCGGUCGCAGAGUAUAAAGGCAAAAGCGCGCUUGACUGCGAGACAGACACGUCGAGCAGGUACGAAAGUAGGUCUUAGUGAUCCGGUGGUUCUGUAUGGAAGGGCCAUCGCUCAACGGAUAAAAGGUACUCCGGGGAUAACAGGCUGAUACCGCCCAAGAGUUCAUAUCGACGGCGGUGUUUGGCACCUCGAUGUCGGCUCAUCACAUCCUGGGGCUGAAGCCGGUCCCAAGGGUAUGGCUGUUCGCCAUUUAAAGUGGUACGCGAGCUGGGUUUAGAACGUCGUGAGACAGUUCGGUCCCUAUCUGCCGUGGACGUUUGAGAUUUGAGAGGGGCUGCUCCUAGUACGAGAGGACCGGAGUGGACGAACCUCUGGUGUUCCGGUUGUCACGCCAGUGGCAUUGCCGGGUAGCUAUGUUCGGAAAAGAUAACCGCUGAAAGCAUCUAAGCGGGAAACUUGCCUCAAGAUGAGAUCUCACUGGGAACUUGAUUCCCCUGAAGGGCCGUCGAAGACUACGACGUUGAUAGGCUGGGUGUGUAAGCGUUGUGAGGCGUUGAGCUAACCAGUACUAAUUGCCCGUGAGGCUUGACCAUAUAACACCCAAACA
rnacentral:rRNA from 1 species